UUCACUUUUUAGACUUCACUGUUCACCAUUCAGCUCCUUCACUCAGUUAUUCUUCAGUUAGUGAAAUGUUAUCAUGCGUUUCAUACUAUCGUUGCUCGCCACUGGUAUCGCAUCGUAAAUACUGAAUCCGAAGUAAUAUUAUUGUACCGGAAGAGUAACUAUAGUUUUAGUUAAAUCUAAGUUUGCUCAAUUUACUCGUAUAAAUUCACUGUCGGUAAUACGUUAUAACAUUCCGUUUGCCGACCACAAGACGUGCUCGUGCCUCGUGCGAACGGUUCGAUACUCCGUGUCGUCCUACACAGUACACGGUUUGCUGUUGUCGAGUCGUAUCGAUUGUUUUUUGCCCCCGCGUGACACUCGUAGAUACGACAAUAUAAUUAUUCUAACAUUAUUCCAGUAGCAACCAUCCCGUCUUGUUGCUAAGUUAUUCGCUGUUUUCAAACUUAACAUUCUCUCCGCUGUCGGUGAUUCGGUCGAGUGUUAUAAUAACUGACGUUAUAUUGUACAAGAUACAGCCAUACCUACCGUUACCUGCCUUCUCAGGUGCGUGUGUGUGCUGCCUACGUACUAUUAUAAACGAGAGUUCAUUAUUUCGUUGUUGCCAUCCUUCGCGAAAUCCACUUUCCAAAAAUGGACCAAGCGUUCUAUGACGAAGACAGUUAUUGAUUAAUCGUACUGAGAUGAAAAAAAUCCAAGGUCGAUUUCGGGCAGUAUCUAGAUCUACAUUAUCUACUGCUCAUCUAUUCUGUUUGUAUUCGACACAAUUUCCUAAAGAAAAUGAGAUAAUUGAAUUGCUACCAUGCAUAAUAUGCAAUCGUUCAUUCCGUCCAAAUUUAUUACAACGCCACUCAACUAUAUGCCAAAAAAACGCUAAAAAACAUAAGGUGCCAUUUGAUUCAUCUAAACAGCGUAGAGAAGGUACUGAGAUGGCAACAUAUUUACCACAUAUGAAAAAGACUCAAGAUGCUUAUAUUGGUAUAGAAAAAGCUAAAAAGAACUGGAAAGCUAAGCAUGAAGAGCUUGUUAGAGCUGUAAAAGCAGCACGAGGGGAAAAAGUUGAUGAUAAACUUAUAUCGACUAAACCUAUCGAUUCUGAAGAAUGUCCACAUUGUGCACGGAAUUUUGGACCUAAAUCGUACGAUCGACAUGUAGAAUUUUGCAGAGAAAAAGCUCAAAGAAUAUCUACUGCACCAGUGAUAAGCCAAGUAGCUAAAGAACGACUUGAAGCAAGAAUAAAAUACCGUGCUCCUCCACUUAAGUCGCAGCGUACAGUUACUAAAGAGAAAUAUUCUCCAAAAACAAAAAGUCUUGCUCAAAAUGUUUCAAGUGUACCAAUAAAAGUUAUACAACCAUUAAAAACUAUUAAAAAAAGAACUCCACCAAAUAGAAAUAUAUCUAAUAUCCCACGUCAAAUGUCAACAGUAGUGAAAAAGAAAGACCAAAUAUCAAAAAAUCUCUAUGGUGAAAGAAAUGCAAUAUACUUGCCCCAAAAGCCAGAUCUAAAAAAUGAAAAAACUAUGAACAAAUCUGAAUCGGCCUAUAUCCUUGGUUCUAAAAAUCAUAUAAAACAAGAAGUUAAUAAUAUGGUCAAUAAUUUUGACAAAAAAAAAAUAUCAAAAUCCGAACCCCAUUUGGAUAUUUACGACCCUCAUUUGGACAGCUACGAUCCAUUUAAAUCAGCUGAACAACAAAUGAAAGAGCUUGAUUUAGACAUAAACAUAAUUGACAUUGGUCUCAAAAAUCCGUUAAAUUGUACCCCAAAUGAUAAUAUUGAGAGUCUUCAAAUGUCUCCAACAUCUGCAUUCGUUAAAUAUUCACCAGUCUCUUCUUUAGUAGUCUCUCCAGAUAAUAUCGAAAAUACAUUUCCCAAUGAAUUUCACUCAGACACUAAUCUUAAUAGUCAUCCACUACAUAAUUUAAGUAAUUUAAGUUUGUGUUCCAUUGUUAGUAUUGAAUCAGCUGACUUUAAUAAUAAAACUCAUAGUGCUGUAGAGCGAGGUACAGAUCAUCUCAAAAGUCCUACAAAACGAAACAUUAAUCAUAAUCAUAAAAAACAUAUAGCUAUUGAAAAUAUGCUUUAUGGUGAUAAUGAAAAAGAUAAAUCAAAUCUCACAUUUGAUUUGGCAGAACAAGAGCUUUUAAAAUCUGUGUCGGAAUUUGAAAACUUAUUGAAAAUAACAGAUGAUGAUGAUAUAGUAUCACCAUCUUUGAAUAAAACCUCUACCCUUAGUAUGAUCAAUGGGAUUAAUUCCAAUAGCAGUGCUGAUUCGGCUUACGGAAGGUAAGGCGAGCAAUCAAUGGUGUUUCAAUUGUCAUCGGGUACUUGCACGGUUUGAACGGGUUUCAUUUGGAAUCCAACACUUACUGAUUUUAGCCAAAAUCAGCCUAACACGGCUUGAACAGAAAAUCUGAGCAGGUGACAACCGAUAAUUAUCAUCAACUGCUGAAAACUGCUAAAUUUUGUCAUGAAUGUGGAUUUAAAUAUCCAAUCAUUGAUAUCAAAUUUUGUACUGAGUGUGGUAUGCGGCGUAU
rnacentral:misc_RNA from 1 species